CAGUCCUCUUGCCUCAGCCUCCCAAGUAGCUGGAACUACAGGAGAUAACGCAAAACUUCAGCGAAAGUAAGGGCUGUUAAGGCGCCCCACAGUGGAGCGGGGAAGAUCCUUCGCUGUGGACCCACCGUGGGAUGUCAUCAUUCCUGAACCUGAGGCGGUUCCCCUCCGAGUCUCACCCAGCAGCGAGCACCCUCCAGUCUUCAGAGGCACUGAACGAACAUCGCUGCUGGGGAUGCUUUUAUGCUUAUGUUCUUUUUCCCUCCUAAUUUAAAGAGGAUCCAAAAAUGAAGUGUCUGAGAACCAAUACACACAGCAGUGAGAACUGAGAUGUCAGCGUUUGCUCUAGACACAAA